rnacentral:tRNA from 1 species
GCCAGUGGGGCAUAGUGGUUUGAACUCUGGACUUUAACUCUGGAGACCAGGGUUCAAAUCCCCACUCAGUCA